UCAGCGUAAUGCAUGGAUUUUAGGGCUGAUUUUGAGUUUUCUUCGAUCGAUUUCAGGUUGGUUCGAUGAUCGCGAAGACGGAGGAGGUAUGUGAGCUGCUUCCUCCAGUAUUGCCUUGUGGUUUGAGGGUGGGAGCUGACGGAACCAAUCAGAGGGACGAGGAGGGUGAUCAUUUGCCCCUGUAUGCCAACGAGGUCCUUCGCAUGUUGAUUUCGAUCUGGAACGCAUUGAUCCAUCGAAAAUCCAAAUGCAUAUUGUUUUGAAUCCGAGGCCUAUAAUGACGUGCGCGUACAUAAUAAUCUCUCGGUCCUUCGCGACCCGGCGACGCAACCGGGAAUCCAAAGACGCGUAGGAGGAGGAAUAGAGAGCGCGAUGUGUCUGCAGGUCGAUUUUGAAGAAUAUGCUGCAAAAGCUAAAACUUUACCUGUAAAUACUACUAACAAGAGCAAAUUGAUCCUGUAUGGGCUUUACUAGCAAGCAACUGUCGGACCUGUGAAUACUAGCUGACCUGGUAUAUUCAAUAUGAGGGAUAGAGCCAAAUGGGAAGCUUGGAAGGCUGUUGAAGGUUUACAAAAUCCACUUGACAAAUCUUAUAUAUAUAAAUAUUAAUAAAUAAAUAUAACUUGUUGGACAAAAUUUAUUUCUUAUUUAAUAUUAGUAAAAUUGACAGGGGAGGAAGCCAAAGGAGGAGGCUAUGAGUGACUACCUCACCAAGGUUAAACAGCUGCUCGAGGCAGCUGCUACUGUUGCUUAUGCUACUUUGUCAUACCUUGCUCUAUGUAGUACCAUGUCGUCCUCGAUAUCGAAGUAAAGAUCAUGCAGGACUAGGAUCCUAAAAGAAAGCAGGGCACCAUGACUCCUUUGUCAGAUCAUGUUAUAAUUCAUGCCUCAAAGGAGGAAGAGGAGUUACAUUCCAAAAGAAUUUGAAUGCUACAACCUUUGCAAAAGGAAUUAGGAUUACAUUUCUUCUUCAUAAGCUUUAGGAUUACAUUUCUUCUUCAUAAGCUUCCGGCAUGUAACAAGACAAAGUUCUUCUGAUUUAUGCACUUGAACUAGUCAUAGAUUAACAUGAAGGAAGAUUGGGAGUCCUUGGGCCCAUAUCUUAGUUUGUUCCAAUCUUCUCAGGAGUGUUAUUUGUUCUUAUCAUUUGUUUUGAAAACCGACGUGGUUACUCCCACAAAUUUUUACUGUUUUGUAGACUUGAUAUUAAUUAUUUGAAUUCGUAUGUAACUUCCAAAGCUGGAAUAGUAGACUCAGAUUGGUUGUUUAAAUUCAUUUAAAAUUCUGAAUAUGUAAUUUAGAUGUAAU